CACAAAUAUUGUACGUCUUGCUUAUCUCAACGUAGUCAAUAACAGUAAACAUGAUUUCCGCGUUGUUUACGUAUAAAUUCGACGCAUAUGUGCCGUCCUACUAACCCAACAAGAUCUACAAUCAGUUAUGUAAAAGAUUAAAAGCGUUUUAGAUAUGAUAAUAUCUUUCUAGGUAUGUUAUGAUAAUAUGAUAUGAAAAUUACAAUACCAGUGGCUAGAUCCGCUGUAGUUGGCUCAC